rnacentral:rRNA from 1 species
GGGUGAGUAACACGUGGGUAACCUGCCUGUAAGACUGGGAUAACUCCGGGAAACCGGGGCUAAUACCGGAUGCUUGAUUGAACCGCAUGGUUCAAUCAUAAAAGGUGGCUUUUAGCUACCACUUACAGAUGGACCCGCGGCGCAUUAGCUAGUUGGUGAGGUAACGGCUCACCAAGGCGACGAUGCGUAGCCGACCUGAGAGGGUGAUCGGCCACACUGGGACUGAGACACGGCCCAGACUCCUACGGGAGGCAGCAGUAGGGAAUCUUCCGCAAUGGACGAAAGUCUGACGGAGCAACGCCGCGUGAGUGAUGAAGGUUUUCGGAUCGUAAAACUCUGUUGUUAGGGAAGAACAAGUACCGUUCGAAUAGGGCGGUACCUUGACGGUACCUAACCAGAAAGCCACGGCUAACUACGUGCCAGCAGCCGCGGUAAUACGUAGGUGGCAAGCGUUGUCCGGAAUUAUUGGGCGUAAAGCGCGCGCAGGCGGUUUCUUAAGUCUGAUGUGAAAGCCCCCGGCUCAACCGGGGAGGGUCAUUGGAAACUGGGGAACUUGAGUGCAGAAGAGGAGAGUGGAAUUCCACGUGUAGCGGUGAAAUGCGUAGAGAUGUGGAGGAACACCAGUGGCGAAGGCGACUCUCUGGUCUGUAACUGACGCUGAGGCGCGAAAGCGUGGGGAGCGAACAGGAUUAGAUACCCUGGUAGUCCACGCCGUAAACGAUGAGUGCUAAGUGUUAGAGGGUUUCCGCCCUUUAGUGCUGCAGCAAACGCAUUAAGCACUCCGCCUGGGGGAGUACGGUCGCAAGACUGAAACUCAAAGGAAUUGACGGGGGCCCGCACAAGCGGUGGAGCAUGGUGGUUUAAUUCGAAGCAACGCGAAGAACCUUACCAGGUCUUGACAUCCUCUGACAACCCUAGAGAUAGGGCUUCCCCUUCGGGGGCAGAAUGACAGGUGGUGCAUGGUUGUCCUCAGCUCCUGUCCUGAAAUGUUGGGUUAAGUCCCGCAACGAGCGCAACCCUUGAUCUUAGUUGCCAGCAUUCAAUUUGGCACUCUAAGGUGACUGCCGGUGACAACCCGAAGAAAGGUGGGGAUGACGUCAAUCAUCAUGCCCCUUAUGACCUGGGCUACCACGUGCUAAAAUGGGCCGAACAAAGGGCAGCGAAGCCCCCAGGCUAAUCCAUUCCCAAAAUCGGUUUCCAUUUGUGAUGCGAACUCGCAACUCUACCGCGGGAAUCGGGAAGCCCCCAAAAUCCGGAAAACAUUCCCCGGUGUAUAGCUUUCCGGCCUUGU